UAGUGGCUGGAAGUUAACGCAUUAAGCACUCCGCCUGGGGGAGUACGGCCGCAAGGCUGAAACUCAAAGGAAUUGACGGGGGCCCGCACAAGCGGUGGAGCAUGUGGUUUAAUUCGAAGCAACGCGAAGAACCUUACCAGGUCUUGACAUCCUCUGAAAACCCUAGAGAUAGGGCUUCUCCUUCGGGAGCAGAGUGACAGGUGGUGCAUGGUUGUCGUCAGCUCGUGUCGUGAGAUGUUGGGUUAAGUCCCGCAACGAGCGCAACCCUUGAUCUUAGUUGCCAUCAUUAAGUUGGGCACUCUAAGGUGACUGCCGGUGACAAACCGGAGGAAGGUGGGGAUGACGUCAAAUCAUCAUGCCCCUUAUGACCUGGGCUACACACGUGCUACAAUGGACGGUACAAAGAGCU
rnacentral:rRNA from 1 species